rnacentral:lncRNA from 1 species
AAGACCAUGCAUAACAACCUUAGCCUAUCUUCCAUAACUAUGUUCUCUUGUACGAACCCGGUAGAAGCAUCAACAACUGUCAUUAACAGCUGUCCUCGCCGUUCACCUAUGCCGCCGAACAGGUGAUCUGGAUCUUGACCUAUGCUGCCGAACAGGUGAUCUGGAUCUUGACCUAUGCUUCCGAACAGGUGAUCUUGACUUAUGCUUCCGAACAGGUGAUUUUGAUCUUGAUCUAUGCUUCCGAACAGGUGAUCUGGAUCUUGACUUAUGCUUCCGAACAGGUGAUCUGGAUCUUGACCUAUGCUUCCGAACAGGUGAUCUGGAUCUUGACCUAUGCUUCCGAACUGGUGAUUUGGAUCUUGACCUUCUUACCCUGCAUAAAAAGGAAACCCUGUAAAUAAACAAGGCACAGCUGUAGUAUAAAUGGGAACCCAUACAAAUUCACCUGAGUAGCUUAUAUUGUUAUAUGAUGAUGGUAGUUUGUCUCAAAAAUAUAAACCUUAAACAUGAUUAACUUAAUGGCAACAAACCUGG